ACAUUUGAUAUAAAUCCGUAUUUUUUCACGUUUUUAGAAUUUACAUACACGUGGUUAAUAUAAGAGUACAUAUUAAAAUGGUAAAAACCAGUCACGCAAAAUGUUUUAUAAUAUUUUUGUUUUUGGAAUUUUCUUUAAAUGCCGGAUUUAAAACUAAAAAAGAAGAGCCACUUAUCUUUCAAAUAGGUGAAAAACUGCUUAAGCAUGAAGGAAUUUUAGAAGUCUUGAAGCCAGUUUUCAAAGUAAUAUUGAAAAAUUUGUUUGAAAGCGGAGAAGACGAUUUACUGAAACUGUUUGACAAAGAUCAUAAAGUUGCAGACGUCCCAUUCGUUAUAUCCAAGAAAAAAUCUUCACUAAAAGAUGAACACCCUCUUCUUUACAAAUUAUUGAAAGAGUUAUCUAAAAUGAUAGAGAAAAAAAUUCGAUAAAUAAACUUGCUUAAAAACAUUGCGUGCUCACCCGAUGAAGCUACGAGGAAUGUUUUUUCUUUAAUUAAUAUUAAUUUUGAUUAAUUUAUAGACAGUACCUAGCAAAAGCAUUAAAUUAUUUCUAUUAUUGACAAUUGAUAUUUCAUUUAAACACCACUAGGGGAUCCCAUGACGACUACUUUUUACAUCAGGGAGAAAAAAAUACUAAACACCACUUUAUAUCAAUAAGGACGUCACGAAAAAUGUAUUGUUUAAACAAUAAGAAUAGAUAAUUUACCAGCAACUUCCUGAUGAUAAAAAACGGUUCUUAAUAUUUUACUGAAACAAGUGAAAAUUGAUUAUUUUCAUUUAAAACAUUUACUGAAACUAAAAACUCCAAAAUUAAUCGAAUAUAUAAUAUAAUGAGCUCUAGACUAGUCCAAAAGAAAUAACCAGGGCCGGAUUAAGCUAGUGGCUUGGGGGGGGCUAUAGCCCGGGCCCCAGGUCCAAGAGGGCCCCAUCAUUUGGAAGUCAUUCUGUAUUUUUUGAUGUGUUGAUACCACAAAUCUAACUUAUUGAUAUUAUUUUGUGAAUUUUUCCGGGUUUUCGAAUUCCUUAAGGGGGCUCUGUCAUUAUUUUAGCCCCGGGCCUUAUGAAUCUUAAUCCGGCCCUGGAAAUAACCAAAUCUUGCGGGUCCCAAUGUUGGAAUAAAUUUAGCAUUUAGAAAAUUAAGACACCAAAGAAACACCCGUUGAAAAACAGAAGAUUUUUUAGGCGUAGUUUCAAUUUGAAAUCCACAAAUCAAAUUACAGACAUAAUAAAAAAUAUUAACAAUAACAAGGCUCCUAAUAUAGAAAUUCCUUUGGAGAAUAUAUGAUAAAUAAUUCAUUUAAAGCAACAGAAAAAAAUUGUUGCAAUAAAACCAAUCUAGAAAAAUCAGACGACAAAAACUCAAAUUUUACAGGCGAUUUUUCUUUUUUUUCCACUUUGGAAACACUCUUGAGAAGGUCUGAAAUUCUGAAAUAUUUGAUAAAAUAUUCAAUCAUCCCUAGAAAACACACAAAAAUAUUUAAGUUACUGUUGCAAAAUAAAUUUAUAAAUCUUUUGAAAAAGAUCACGUUGUGUCUUUCUUGAUCCAGCCAAUGCUUUCGCCUCUGUGAGGCAUUCGCAGUUGUUGCGGGAUUUUGGAUUCCGUAGGGCGUCUUAGAGACUUGUUUAAUCGUACUACUUAACAAAAAAGGAAAGAAGAUUAGGGUGUUCUUUUUGGUAACCCUCAGAAGACGGUGAUUGACCUCUUUACCCUUUAUAUAAACAGUUUCUCGAACAACCCUUGGGCGAAAAGGUAUUUUUACUGCUGAGAUUGUCUUAAAACUACAAACUUUCAGCUGAAAAUUGUAGAAAAAAAUAAUAAUGCUUUUGAUAUGUAAUAUUAAAAAGUUUCAAAGCUACGACAGGUUUCAUCUGUAUAUUUUUCUCUUCGAAACCCUGCUAUUUCUUUUAGAUAUUUUUGGCGCCAUAUAAUGAUUUCCCCUUUUCCAAAAAUGGCGUUUUUGCUCUUUCUUUAGAUACCAGUUCAUCUUGUUAAACUGUUUGGUUGUAUCAAUAAAUAAGUUCAUAUGCAUUGGUUUUAAAUAUAUACCCUGUAAAUUGUUUAUCUCUUCAGAUAAAGAUAAAGAACCACCCCUCAUUGAGUUAGCUGAAAAAUUAUUUGAUCAUGAAGGACUUUCAGAAGUCUUGAAACCAAUUUUGAAAAUAUUAUUGAAAACAUUGAUUGAAAAAGGAGAAGACGCUGUAUUGGAUCUGUUUGAUAAGGAUUCAAAAGAUGAUCCGUUAAGUUCACUAGUCGGUGAAUACCCUUCCCUUAAAAAAUUAUUCAAAGAAUUAUCUAAAGUGAUUGAAAAUGAAAACGAAAAUGUACAAAUUUCCGUACCGGUCGUGGUUGAAAAACAUUAUCCACCAAAUUGGAGGGAUUAUUAUUAUACUAUAUUGGAGGAUCGUGGUAGAAACGUCGAAUGCCUUAUACCUGGAGAUUGUUACGAAACAUGCUUUUGGUGUUAAUGUGUUAAAAUUUCAAUAUUAUUAGUAUUUAUUCAAUAAAUUCUUCUACUUACAUUCAAUAUUUAAAUCAAAUUAUUUGUAUUUAUUGGAUUCCAUUCCAAAUAAAAACCAUUUUCAAAUACUGUAUUUGGAUGUGAGUUUUUUUGUUGUUGGGUUUUGGGUUUUGAGUUUUGGGUUUUGGGUUUUGGACGUGCUUAAAAUGAAUGGGUAUAAAUAAACGGACCUUUUGCUUGUUUUGCUAAUCAACUUCUCCACUUAAACAGCCGUGAAUUCCGGCUGGUGACUGGGUUUUACCUCCUCUGGUGCAUGGAGGACGAGGAAACAGCAGACCACGUCAUCAGUGAGCGCCCAGCAUUUACUCUAGUGGGGUUAAAACACUUGAGCAAGCCUCUUUGACACUUUGACUUUGACUUUCAAAGAUUCAGGUGCCUGAUUAGGUUUUCAAAGGUAGUUUUACGUGAAUGCCCACCUAAUUAUGAUAAAUGUUAGGAUAGAGGCAAAUUAUUAUUCACUAAGAAAAUUGAAUAAAAGUUAUAGCUAAAUCUGUUUUGGAAUUUGUUCAAAUUAACUUAACCUCACCUAUUUUAACCUAAUCAAUAAAUGGAUCCGUUCCACGAUUAACAACAUCAAAAGACAAGUUCCAGUUGGAU